rnacentral:rRNA from 1 species
GGGGAAUUUUGCACAAUGGGGGAAACCCUGAUGCAGCGACGCCGCGUGAUUUAGAAGGCCUUCGGGUUGUAAAAAUCUUUUGUAUAGGAAGAAAAUGACAGUACUAUACGAAUAAGGUCCGGCUAAUUACGUGCCAGCAGCCGCGGUAAUACGUAAGGACCGAGCGUUGUCCGGAAUCAUUGGGCGUAAAGGGUACGUAGGCGGGUCAUUAAGUUAGAAGUCAAAGGCUAUAGCUCAACUAUAGUAAGCUUCUAAAACUGGCGACCUUGAGUAAUGGAAGGGAAAGUGGAAUUCCUAGUGUAGCGGUGGAAUGCGCAGAUAUUAGGAGGAAUACCGGUGGCGAAGGCGACUUUCUGGCCAUUAACUGACGCUGAGGUACGAAAGCGUGGGUAGCAAACAGGAUUAGAUACCCUGGUAGUCCACGCCGUAAACGAUGAGUGUUAGGUGUCUGGAGUAAAUCUGGGUGCCGCAGCUAACGCAUUAAACACUCCGCCUGGGGAGUACGCACGCAAGUGUG